AUGGGAAAAGAUAAUUAUAAUUGAUCAGAGUUUUCUAAGAUAAUAUGAAACUUUUCCAUAUAAAAAAAUUGUUAAUGAUACAUUAAUAAAAUAUAACAGCAUAUUAGUAAUCUAUUAUUUUGUGGUCACACUACAUGGUAAUAAUUUCCUACCUAUCUGCUUACCUACCUACCUACCAGAUUAUAUCCUGACAGUUUCUUUUUAUUCUAACAAAUAAAUGUACACUGGCAACACUUCUUGAUAUACUACAAUAAAUAUCUGUUACAUUAUAUUUGUACAUUACCAUAUUUCUUAAAUGUUACUUCAACCAAUCAAUCUUAUCAUUCUAGAGUACAAUCCUUAGCAAAAUAAUUAUCACUUAAUAAUAUACAUCCCUAAAUCUUCAUACUCAUACCAUCUCACACAAAAUCUCUGCCACUAACCAACAUUCUCUGUCACAGACUUUCUAAGAUUCAUCUAACCUUAAACCACCUUCAAACAGAAUUCAUGAACCAAGUAGCAGAAGUUUCAAGAAUCUACAAUUUCCUCUAUAUCCAGACUGAGCCGACUGGAUCAAACUUCAAUGAAGUUGAAGGUGAUUGAAUGCGGGUGAUCGAGCGUGCGCGCACUCAUGCUUGCAGGAUAUCCGCGGAUGCAGGAGGCGGCUGACCGGGAGGAUGACGGCAAGCGCGCAAGAGCGAGAAGUCGGUAACUUAACUGGCCUAAAUGGGUUUAACUCGAUGUGAUUUUGCUGGCGAACCACUAAAUUGAACGAAUACGAACUAAACUGAACUCAACUAAGCUAAUCAUAUCACAUUACUAGCGUUAUUAGCCGAGAGACGAUAUAAGUGAAGGUCCGGUGGUGCCGGGCUGCAGUAACGGGUCGCCUCCUGCACUGACCCUCUGCACGACUUUCUUUUCGACCCCUUUUUCUCGUUCACACUAUCAAGAAUUUCGUGUCCUGUGUCAUCUAUCCGUAUCUAAAUCAUAGAAACGCGUUCAUUCUGCAUAAUUGCUACGUUUGUCGUUGUUUACGAAAUCAUUUUUUAGGUUAGUUUUGUGAAACUUUGUGGAAGGUGAAGUCUCUCGGAAGAAACGGACGAUUCUCGAUGUACACGAGGUCUGACGGACGAUGUUGCCCGAUCCUGGCCGAGCCGUAACGCUACCCUGACUGUGCAACAGGAAACACGUGCGCCCGGUGAAAGUGACAGCUCGGAGCGCGCCAAAUUUGAAACGAAGAUCGAAGAAUCGCGUUGUUCGUUGGGGGAUAUCAGCGGUUAAAGAAAGAGAAGAUAGACUAAUUAUCUCCCACCAACCACUUCGAAGCGACAAGAGAGGGGAAUAGACCUGGAGGAAAGAUAAGAACGAAAUGGACACGAUACGUUCCGUCCCCACCACUUCUACCAGCAGAAUAGAAGGAGUUUCUCGGCUCCACCUCUUCCCCUUCCGAUAAUACCCUCCUUCAACGGUGGAUGACGAUUUGACUCUGACUUACUGUACUUAGGUACCUCGCUCUUCAACCCCCUAAGACUUCUGUUUACAUCUCUCAUACACCCAGAAAGUAAUUUCCCAACAACCCUCUGUAGUCUUACAAUUUUUACAAAAUUGAUCUAUAAUUCCUAAAGUUAAUUCACAAUUCAAAUACACAACACUAUUAUUUUUCGAUAUUAAUUAACGAACGUAGUAGAGCAAUUUUUCCAAAAUAUCUUCCCUUAUACUACAAUCGAAAUUUUAUCGAAAUUAGAAUCUUAGAAUCUUAGAAUGUUUAUCUCAAGUUAGAAACCUCUCUCUACUUUCCAAUAUUCACGUUUUUCUAACUUUGUUCCUACACUAUAUUUUAUUCUUAUAUUAUAUAUUUUACGGUAUGCGAUAUUUUAUUUUCAUAUUUAUUUUUUAGAUCAGAACAGACUAAUAUAAUCCACGUAUAUACAUAUAUAAUGUACACAAGCUUUUACAUAUAUGGAGAACGCAACGAGCUGAUAACAAGCAGACAAAGGGAAACAGUCUCUCUUGUUGAGAAGUAUAUUUAGAUCGAACGACACAGGGAAACGAGGUGAAGAGGAGGGUUUGGAAGCGACUUUUUGCACGCGAGCCGCUCUUUUUUACGUCGUAGGUAUGCCGACCGGAUAGUAUUGCCGUGUGGCCAGGCUGGCAGGGCCGACCAAUUGAGCCUGUUAACGUCAAUUGAGCUGAAUUAGUUCAAUUGGACGUAAUUGCGCGAAGGCGACGGGGAACCUUCGCUCUCUGUUCGCCGGCCAUGCUCGCGUUUCUCUUUUCGCGCUGAUAUCGCCGUAUUCACAGGACUUCCUUCAAAGUACAGUCCAAACAUAAGUUCGAUAUAAUCGAGGAAUGUUGUACAAGACUGAUUUCGUACAUAGAUUGUUUAAAACACUGGUUUUAUAUGGGGAUAAUAUUUGGGCAUGCAGUCUUUUUGGGACGUAGUUUUCUGACUAUUUUAGGUAAAACGUUAUUUUAUCUAGAUUUACCAUGUUUCUCUAGAGCCGUUAAAUUGUAAUCUCGUAGAAUUAGUUGUUUAAUUUCUCACUAAAUGAUCUCAGAUAAAAUCGAAUAUCAAAGAUAAAAUAGGUUUGAUGCUGUUUAACGCGAUUCUUAUGUCGAAGCGUUUAAACUUCAUAAUUAUAGUAGAUAAUUCUUGGCUGCAAUAUUAACGCGGUUAUGAUAUGUAUGGCUAUAAUAUCUACUAUAUUAUCAAACAACAAAUCAAACAUACAAAGCAAUAGGUAUGAUCUCAGAUAAAAUCGAGUAUCAAAGAUAAAAUAGGUUUGAUGCUGUUUAACGCGAUUCUUAUGUCGAAGCGUUUAAACUUCAUAAUUAUAGUAGAUAAUUCUUGGCUGCAAUAUUAACGCGGUUAUGAUAUGUAUGGCUAUAAUAUCUACUAUAUUAUCAAACAACAAAUCAAACAUACAAAGCAAUAGGUAUCUUCAUCAUAAAAAUGAUAAAAAAUUCACUACUUGACAAACCAUUUCAUCGCUUCUACAAAAAUGAACGAAAAAUGAAAAAAAGCAGCCCUUAUAUCGGUCAGAAAAAUUCCACCCUCUUUAUGUUCUCCGAGCUUCCCCCGAGUAAAACAAAUUACAACGUCACCGGUACCAGGAUAAUGGCCAUCAGAGGAGGCAAUUAUGACAGCCGUGACCCAAGAAUUAACGUGCCCACAUGAGCGUCGCGAGAUUCCCGAUCGAGAUCACAAUAAACGUUCCUUUCUCGCUUUUUUCCCUUUUUUUUCACCCCCAUGGAACGUUGGCGAACAAGCAACAGUCAUUGAUAUUAGUCACUUUAUAUCAUGCUGGUAUAUUUCACGGGUCAAAGCGUAGAGAGAUGGCCAACGACGAAGACUUUUUUUAUAUGUGCUAUACGUAUUUUGAGGAGAAAUACUGCUGCUCGAUCCCCACCCUCGAUCGGACACAAAGAGCUUGGAUAUUUUCGAUAUACGCGCACUGUCUAUUCAAUGGUUGCUGCGAUUCUACCUGAGAUUCGAUUCAUACAGAAGAUGAAUUCCUCGUUUGAAAUAUGCUGGAUGCGACCACGUGGCUUGAGUGCAUGCAACAGGUGUAUAUCGCUCGUAGGAGGCUACCUGUUGAGUAGGUAUAAAUUAAGGCUUUCAAUAACUAUAUUGUCCAGAAGUUAUACCCGUUAACUCUGUAAAUUAAAAGGAAGAAAAGACGUGCGUUGGAUGUUGCAAUUUUUAUGAAAUUUCUUCCGAAUUUUUCGCUUAUUUAUCUCAUCUUCUCGCAAUACCGGGAUAAGCCCACACUGGAGGCAGAUGUAAUUUGUUUCUUCGAGAAGUACAGUGGUAAUCACGUGGCCGAGCAAUGAAAUGUAGAUCAGUCAGAGAUGUAGAGUUAAUGAAGUAGAGUAACGCGCGAAGAAUGUAAAAUACAGCUGAAUUAGGAUGUCGUGGAAUUGAAGAGAGUAGGAUUUGAGAAUUGAAGGGUGUAGAACGAGCUAAAUUAGAUUAUUGAUGAAAGGAUUGAAGAUAUUUACAAGGGUCGAAUUUGAGAGUUAAGGGGAGUGAAAUGUACACUGUAGAAUGAGAUUGAUUAGAUUAUUAAUUAUGAAACGUGAAGGUUGAGGGAGCGUACGAUAUAUGCUAUGUAAUAUACGCUAUAGAAUGUAUAUCGCGGAAUGUUAUAGAAUGUAUUAAAUUAAAUUGUUGAUAAUCUUAUUUGUUAGAA